GACGAACGCUGGCGGCGUGCUUAACACAUGCAAGUCGAACGAAGUGGCGAACGGGUGAGUAACGCGUAAUCCACCUGCACUUCAGAGGGGGACAACAGUUGGAAACGACUGCUAAUACCGCAUACUGAAGGUGGUGAUUGCGUCGGUUUUGCUAGUUGGAGGGGUAACGGCCCACCAAGGCGAUGAUCAGUAGCCGGGUCGAGAGGAUGAACGGGCACAUUGGGACUGAGACAAGGCCCAGACUCCGACGGGAGGGAGCAGUGGGGAAACUUCCGCAAUGGACGAAAGGCUGACGGAGCAACGCCGCGUGAGUGAUGACGGCCUUCGGGUUGUAAAGCUCUGUUAAUCGGGACGCGGUACCGGAAUAGAAAGCCACGGCUAACUACGUGCCAGCAGCCGCGGUAAUUC
rnacentral:rRNA from 1 species